CGCUGGCGGCGUGCCUUAUGCAUGCAAGUCGAACGAGACCAAGGUUUCGGCCUGAAGUCUAGUGGCGGACGGGUGAGUAACACGUACGUGACCUGUCCGGAAGUGGGGAAUAACCAGCCGAAAGGUUGGCUAAUACCGCAUACGGUUACUGCUUAGAAGCAGCAAACCAAAGUCGAAAGACGCUUCCGGAGGGGCGUGCGGCCGAUUAGCUAGUUGGUGUGGUAACGGCGCACCAAGGCGGUGAUCGGUAGCUGGUCUGAGAGGAUGGUCAGCCACACUGGGACUGAGACACGGCCCAGACUCCUACGGGAGGCAGCAGCAGGGAAUUUUGCGCAAUGGGGGCAACCCUGACCCAGCAACGCCGCGUGCAGGAUGACGGCCUUCGGGUUGUAAACUGCUUUUGGGAAGGACGAGCGAGGACGGUACUUCCCGAAUAAGUCACGGCUAACUACGUGCCAGCAGCCGCGGUAAAACGUAGGUGGCGAGCGUUAUCCGGAUUUACUGGGCGUAAAGCGUGUGCAGACGGGGCACCAAGUGGUGUAUGAAAUCGCCAUGCUCAACGUGGCGGGGUUAUGCCAGACUGGUGGUCUAGAGUGCGGGAGAGGGACGUGGAAUUCCGGGUGUAGUGGUGAAAUGCGUAGAGAUCCGGAGGAACCCCAGAGGCGAAGGCGGCGUCCUGGCCCGACACUGACGUUCAGACACGACAGCAUGGGGAGCGAACGGGAUUAGAAACCCCGGUAGUCCAUGCCGUAAACGAUGCAGACUAGGCGCUGGUGGCGGAUACGUCAUUGGUGCCGCAGCAAACGCGAUAAGUCUGCCGCCUGGGGACUACGGCCGCAAGGCUAAAACUCAAAGGAAUUGACGGGGGCCCGCACAAGCAGCGGAGCGUGUGGUUUAAUUCGAGGCUACACGAAGAACCUUACCUAGACUUGACAUGCGUCUGAACGAGGGUGAAAGCCUGAGGUUCGCAAGACAGACGCACAGGUGCUGCAUGGCUGUCGUCAGCUCGUACCGUGAGGUGUUAGGUUAAGUCCUGUAACGAGCGCAACCCUCGGGGUCAGUUACACGAGUCUGACCCGACUGCCC
rnacentral:rRNA from 1 species